rnacentral:rRNA from 1 species
GACGAACGCUGGCGGCGUGCCUAACACAUGCAAGUCGAACGGAAAGGCCCUGCUUUUGUGGGGUGCUCGAGUGGCGAACGGGUGAGUAACACGUGAGUAACCUGCCCUUGACUUUGGGAUAACUUCAGGAAACUGGGGCUAAUACCGGAUAGGAGCUCCUGCUGCAUGGUGGGGGUUGGAAAGUUUCGGCGGUUGGGGAUGGACUCGCGGCUUAUCAGCUUGUUGGUGUGGUAGUGGCUUACCAAGGCUUUGACGGGUAGCCGGCCUGAGAGGGUGACCGGCCACAUUGGGACUGAGAUACGGACCAGACUCCUACGGGAGGCAGCAGGGGAGAAUAUUGCACAAUGGGCGGAAGCCUGAUGCAGCAACGCCGCGUGCGGGAUGACGGCCUUCAGGUUGUAAACCGCUUUCGCCUGUGACGAAGCGUGAGUGACGGUAAUGGGUAAAGAAGCACCGGCUAACUACGUG